AGCAAGAUCGGUGUGUACAAGGCCCGGGAACGAGCGCAACCCUUAUCCUUUGUCGCAGCGGUUAGGCCGGGAACUCAAAGGAGACUGCCAGUGAUAAACUGGAGGAAGGUGGGGAUGACGUCAAGUCAUCAUGGCCCUUACGAGUAGGGCUACACACGUGCUACAAUGGCGCAUACAAAGAGAAGCGACCUCGCGAGAGCAAGCGGACCUCAUAAAGUGCGUCGUAGUCCGGAUUGGAGUCUGCAACUCGACUCCAUGAAGUCGGAAUCGCUAGUAAUCGUAGAUCAGAAUGCUACGGUGAAUACGUUCCCGGGCCUUGUACACACCG
rnacentral:rRNA from 1 species